rnacentral:misc_RNA from 1 species
GCUAAAUGAAAACAAUAAUUUUGCUUUAUUUAAAGCAUGAUUAAAUAAGCAAGUAUAACACUGAUUUCUACUUUAUAUAUUUUUAUAAUAAAAGUCAUUCACAUUGAAGUGAAACAAAACCAAAGAUACACCUGUUAACAUAAUUGCGUGAGCGAAUCAAUAAGACCGUUGCAGCUCCAGUGUCCAAUACGGAUCACGACAAGGCUUAUGACUUGACCACACAGCCAUGACGAUGUUGGUGUAGAUCUGCAGAAAGCUCCAAAGGAUGGACGACGUGAUGGCCUCGCGACUACCAGUGGAGGUUGUCACCCAUGUGAUGCGCUUCCUGAGUGUUUCCGACAGGAAGGAGGCUGCAUUGGUUAAUAGUAUUUGGUACGAAGCAUCUCUGGACCCUAUCCUCCAAGACGAUGUUGUUCUACACUUCCAUGCCCUAACCACUAAUGACAGAACACCACAGAUCACCAGACGCAACCUACCUCACCUAAUAGUAGACCAGUUCGACAACUCACUGAACUCUAAGGUCAUUAUACUUAAGUCAUGUGAGCAGCUCAGUCAAUCAUUGCAGAGUCUGUCUCUAAAGUCCAGUAACAUCACAGAGAGCACCUUCGUAGAGUUAUUAUCCAAGUGUAACAAUCUGGUCAGCUUGAAUCUCAGCUGUUGUAACUCACUUUUUAUGUCAGGAAAACUGCUGGAGAUGAAUGGAGACAUGCAGAAACUAAAGUCUGUACUAGGAUCUGUGCAAAACCUUGAUUUGUCUGCCAUUCGUUACAUGUCAGAUUCUACAUUCAAUCGUAUUGUAACAGUGUGCCCUAAUUUGAGCUCUCUGUCUCUAGGAUCUGCACAACUUACCUUCAACAGUUCAUCCUACAUGCCCAGGGGCAAGACAAAAUGUGCCAGUAGCACACUGUUGACAUUUGACAAUAUUCUUGAGUAUCUAAAACUUCAAAGUCCCAAAAUGAAAUUGUUGAAUUUGAGUAGAACGGCAUUAACUGAUGAUGCAUUAGAGACCCUAGUGACACUGGAAGGUUUGAAAUUAGAGGAGUUGGUUCUGGUCUGUUGCAAGGAUAUUUCUGAUUCAGGAAUUUCUGUCAUUUGCAAGUAUCAAUCAAAAUUGAAGACGAUUGACUUGAAGGGAUGUGUGGAUCUCACAGAUGGUGCUAUAAACUUGAUGAGUAAAAACCUUUUGGUUUUGGAGAACUUAAAACUUGGAAAAUGCAGAAGGGUGUCUGAUCAUUCCAUAAAGCAGUUGAAGCAUCUGCCCUGUCUUGAGCUGGUGGACCUUUCGGAGAACUACCUUGUGACCUCCCAAGGCCUCAUUGAAGGCCUCUGUGGUAAUAUCAACAUUCCACUGGUGCAUCUCAAUCUUAACUGUUGCCCUAGUGUCACCGACAGUUUCAUCCUGUCUAUGUGUAAAGUGGUCACACACCUUGUGCAUCUUGAUUUAGGGUCCUGCUUCCCACUUACAGAUCACAGCUUGGUCACCAUGUCAAAGAAUUUGAAACAUCUGAGAUACCUACGACUAGCUUGGUGUAAAGAGAUCACAGACCUUGGACUCCUGGGAUAUGAGAGAACAGAUGGAGAGUCACAGGAUUCACAUGAACACGACGAACACGGAAAAUGUCGAUGUACACGGAAAUACAAUAGCACAGAAAUAUUCCGAAAACCCACAGGAAAUAUCCAUUUGAAGAACAAAUCUGGAGAAAUGGAGAAGCUUGUGUCCAGACACAAUGAGGUUUGUACCCUGAAAAAUCUUUCAAUUCUACGUGAACUGGAUUUGUCUGCAUGUCCCAAAAUAACAGACACUGGAUUGACGCAAGUUGUCAAGUUCAAAGAACUUAGGUCAUUGAACUUGAGUAUGGUUCAGAUUACAGACUUGACAGUGCACUCAGUGACCUCCAACAAUCCCAGCCUUGAGCACCUAAGCUUGGCUCAGUGUGCGGCCCUGACUGAUGAUGCCAUAGAAUGUGUUGCCAAGCGACUACCCCGGCUGACAAGCCUUGACAUCUCCAAGUGUGAUAAACUGACCAAUAAGAGUAUCCAGUUUCUUAAAGAGUAUUCAAGCAGGCUGCGUACAUUGGAUGUGUCAUUUUGUGAGAAUAUAUCUGUUGCCGCUGUUGACAAUCUGGAGACAAGUCGGAACUUGAAGAAUGUACAAAAGCGACUUCUAGGUGGCAGCUUUUAAUAGUAGGUUUAAUGAUGAGAGUAAAAUUCCUAUGAGAGGUUUGUGAUAUGAUUCAAACUUGAGGAUCUGCAAGGUGUUUACUGGAAUGUGUGACCCCUUAGACCAAAGGUGUUUACUGAAAUGUGUGACCCCUUAGACCAAAGGUGUUUACUGAAAUGUGUGACCCCUUAGACCAAAGGUGACGGAUAUAGGGAAACAGAACACGUUGUUUAACUAUAUAUAUUGUCAAAUAUUUAAACUAGAACUGUGAUCAAAGUUAAAUGUUAUUGAUUUUCAUAUUCAUAAAUCUUCCAUUUUAAGAGUUUGAGAAAUCUUACGUUUGGUAUAACUUUAUCACUUAUACAUAUAUGUAUUAUCAUUGUUAUCAUGAUGUCAUUGGUGUUUGAAUGAAAACUUGUUUUGUGCUGCUGUACAGAAAAACACUUUAUUCUUGGUUUGAUGGAAAUAUGUACAUGAACAAAACCAUGUUGCUGUUUACAUUUUGUGAAAUCAAACAUGGUUUACAAUAAAUCCUUCAUAUUUUUCUUGAGGUUGCCUACAUUUAGUAAAAUACAAUCAAACUUGUUAGGAAGCACCUCAAUUAAGAGGCCACUUGUGUUGAGAGACCAUUUUUAAUGUUCCCCAUUUGAGUUAUUUCAUUGUAAACCGAACCUGUAUUAAGAGACCACCUGUGUUAAAAGGAUAUUUUUUGGACUUUCUGCGGGUGGUUGCUAGGGCUGUCACAAUAUAUCAGAAAAACGGUAUAUCGCAAUACACGGGUAUAUCGUAUUGUACCACAAUAC